CCGCGAUAGGCGCGAGCCGGCGGGCCGGGGCGGGGUCUCCCCGCCGCCGCAGCCCCUGGGCCCCGAGGCUUCCCCGGCGUCCCCCGGCCGGCGCGCUGCGGCCCGGAGGGUCCCGAGGGCGCCGACGCCGCGCCCCGAACCAGCGGUGUGGAGCGUUCGCCGCCGCCUCCCGAGCGGCCGCGGGGCCCCGGCCGUGGCGGGAAGGGCCGAGGCUCUCGGGGCUUCUGUUCCGUCACCGCGGACGCGUCCCCUCCCUCCCAGACCGCCGGCGCGACAGACGAAACGCCUAGCACCCGCCCGCAGCCCUCUGCUCCCCAGCCCCAGGCAGAGGGGAGAAACCAGUGCCAUUGGAAGCAGGGACAAAGAAGGACAAAUGGAGAAAUAACAUGAUGGGAAGAACAUGGAGAGAAAGGUACAGCACAGGAAGAUCUACUGGAAGACCAAGGUCAGCAUGGAAUAAAAGGGAAUUACAGGGAAUAAAGAGGCCAAGACACAUCCCCUUUGACUGAGGAAAACAGACAGCGAUACAGAUCCAGAGAUCGGAAUUCACAAGUGAACAAGAGGAAGAGGCUUUACAACACAGACAGAGCUAAAAUGAGGUGUACAAAGAGAAAGAAAGAGACAGCCCUUUAUGGAACAUCAUUCCCUUUUAACCUGGCACCAUCAAAAGCCACACUGCAUUGACGAUGUAUGGCACAAACCCUGUUCUUAGGAUAGCAUGUGGCCUGGAGGAAGUUAACUGCCUUCCUCUUCUUUCUCCUGCACCUGUUUGCACUGCAUAAGAAUACCUGAUCAGUAUGGCCCUGCACUGUUGCCCCUUUCAACAGCAUUCCUCUGAUGGGCAGGCAGGGCCUGUCAGUCUGGAAGGCAGCCAUGACACAUAGCGCAGGGGUCAGGAUUAGAGGACCUGAGUUCCAGUACUGGCUCUGCUACACAGAAGCUGUGUGACAUGGGGAGAACUACUUAACCUCUCUGUAAAAUAUGGGUUCCUUUACCUACCUUCCAGGAUGGUUGUGAGAAUUAGAUGAGAGAUUUUAAAAAAUACAUGUAAACUACAUGCCGGGUACAGGCAAGGGAUUAUUAUUAUUGUUU